UCGUUAAAUAAGAAAAAACUUUUUUUUAUAAAUAUUUAACUCUGUCACAUGAAAAGUAUACUCAUUAAAAGAUACUCAUGAAUUAAAAAAUAAAACAAUAUUUUUGUCACAGUAAAUACAUAAAAUAUGAUCAAGACUAUGUUUUCUUGAGACUUACUCCAGUACGUUCUUGUGGAAUUCUGUAAAAAGCAUCGCAUUGCCCGUUUUUGGGGCACUCUUGUCUGUGACCGAAGGCAGCACAGAAAAGAGGACAAGCUGAUCUUGGAUGUGACUCAGGGAGGUGUAGCAUGGACGUGUUUCCAAGACGAAGCUUGGGUUUCUCUCUCUGCUGGCCUGUUGCUGUCAGUCUGGGCGCCUGCUUUGGUUCACGGCUCCCUGGGCAGAGUGCGAGAGCCACGCAGGAAAGACUUACUGCAGGAAAUACCUCACAGAUUGUUACCCCACAGGGACCGUAAGACGAACAAAUGAAAAAAAAUAACAAGGAUGGAGGAGAGGGGGAUGAGAUACAGUCGCUAAAUUGGUGAGCAAUUGGCUCUGCAUUCCCAAGCCCCUCAUGUCCCGUCGAAUGGAGGAACGGUGGGAUCCCACAGGCCACAUUAAAGAUCAAUGAAAAAAGAAAGAACACAAGUAGAACGCUUUGUAGAUGCAGAGACGGAGAGAGAACAGGCCCGUGGUGUGUGUUUUCCCUCUGGCUGAUUUUAACCAAAUAGCAGCAAACAAGCAAUUAUUCCUGGCAGCCCGAGUCCAUGGUUCCUUUCCAAGAAAGAGCAGAGGGAGUGGGGGUGGAUGAAGUCACUCUGACAGAUGGGAUUUAAAUCAAUAUUACAUUAUAUGUCCUUAUUUAUUAAAAAAGAAACAGGAAACCCAACCGAAAAAGGGCCCAGAAGAGCAAUGUGCUGCUUCUUGUUGAUGGAAUAAUUGCUUUAAUACAUUUUUUUUCACCCUUCUAUAUCACUUUCUUCAUUUCCUGUCACCCUACACACACAGACACACACACACACACAUCUUGUCUUUAGACACUGUGAACUCUGGUGUAUAAAAUAAUGGGGUGAAAAAAGCCUUAACAGAAACCAUCUGGAAUGGAGUUUAAGACUGAAAAACCUCCAAAGUUCCAUUGUCGAAUAGGAAGAGGAGGACGAGGAUGAAGAUCACUUUACAAAAACAUCUGCAAAUGCAUCGUUUCUGCAGGUUGGGCAAUGGAUACGGCACCGACACUUCAAGCCUGUCUCAUUAGAAAUGGUAAUAAUUUGCAUGAGAUGGUAAAUUCAUAAGAAAUUGUAGAAAAAUAUGACCCUCUUUGAACAUUCAUUUCCUGUGAGGUUUGACAUUUCUUCAAU